CCACUCUCUCUCCCACCUCACUGCUAUCACUCUCGUAUUUGCGUAUUCUGGUGACUCCACCUUAAAUACUUAUUGUUAUUACGGAAACACCGGGUUACAUUGCCGAAUUGCCCGCGGAUGGCCAUUCUGUCAUGCAGCAGACGGUUCAGUCCCUAAGGAAAGCUUACGCUGUAAGACACCCAAAUUGUUUAGCCAUGACUAAGAAUCUUGUUCAAUCCUUAUGGUAGCCACCUAUUUCCUCAAGAUAUAUAUCUAUCUGCAUGAUUCACACUAAGUUUGCAUCUUGUCAAUGCUAAACCCUCAGCAGCGCUGAGGAAACUUCCAAAGCCAAACCCCUCAAGGAGAAAAAUCUUCAAGGCUCUUAAGGGUUGGCUGCAUGGCAUCAUUUUCAGUUGAUCAUAUUCAAAUACCCACCGAGGGGAAAUCUAUCUUUCCAGAGCUAUGCCGCCUUGGUAACUACAUCGGGAGGGCAUACAUUAGUCUCGGAACUCGACAAUGACGGAGACUUUUGCAGCAGUCACAGAGAGUACGAGGAAACUCCUGUGAUAUGAACUCGGUUCACUAUUGCGUAGAUCCUUUUACUAGGAUUCUCAACUCUGGAAUCUAUUCCGACCUGCAGUCCUCUGCUAAGGUAGCACUUUCAAGGUACAUUCAUUACAUACAUACAUUGAUGUAGAGUUUGCUCCCAGUUGAAAAAUUUUCUCCGGCGUAUGGACUGGAAGUUUCCAGGUCUAAUUGAUCAGUAACAUAUUGUCGCAGCCAUCCAUUUCGAGUCGUUACUAAUUCGCAUAUAUUUGCCAUCCCUGAGAAGGAAAAUUCUUAUGUGCGUCAAUGAUUUGAAACCAGACAGGAACAAGAGAGGAAAUUAUUGUAGAGGCUGGGUGUGGUGACAAGCUUUCUGACUUCUCACUCCCUUAUUUCCCGCACUGUGGGGAAAGAACUAGGGCUAGGAACCAGGAGGUAAUUGAUUUGUUUGAAUACUGUUAUAAAUUCAUUCAGCCCAAUCAUUUCUCUUUCCUUUCCUUUGCUGGCCAAGCGGUGCAAGCAGCAAUGAUGUCAAACAACAUGAGCAGACUGCAGUGGUCACAAUAAGCACAUAGACCUUUCAUAGAGCAUUGCAUCC
rnacentral:sRNA from 2 species